GAUAUUAAGCCAGAUAGUGGUAUACAUUGAUGAUGUAUAUAUAUAUAAGUAUUAAUAAUA
rnacentral:tRNA from 1 species